rnacentral:SRP_RNA from 1 species
CCGCGCUAAGCGGGGAGUUAGCGGUGCCCUGUACCUGCAAUCCGCUACAGCAGGGCCGAAUUCUUCUCCCGAGGCAGCCGUCCGCGGAGCCGGGCCCCGGCAAGGGGCGUCGAGCCCCGGGUCCUGUGCAACCGGCCGCCGUGAACCAUGUCAGGUCCUGACGGAAGCAGCAUUAUGCGGAAUGGCCGGUGUGCCGCAGGGAAACCUGGGAGGAGCUACCUGCCGGCGUACCGUCCGCAGGGCGUACGGUCGAGGGAGGGGUGCGC